AGUGUUGUUGAUGAUUUAACUAUUAUUGUAGUUUAUUUUUAUUCACAGCAAGUGACAACAACAAUUAGAUUGAAUUUGUGCAAUUCUGCAAGGAGGAAUGGGCAAGGCACGCCAGUUCAAUGUAAAGCAAGUUCUACCAGUGACUACUAACUGUUUUGACUGAUGUCCAAACUACAAGAGUUGAGGCAACACGUCGUCUAUCUGAACAUCUAAACGCUAACAUAUUUUCGAAAGGUACUGCAUGUUACGUUUCCUUCUUUUUUAUCUUUAGUAUUAUCCCUUUAGUGACUAGAGAAGAUCAACAAAUUUAAUGAGACGUAAUAUCUUGUAAAGAUAAUUUAAUCCGUGCUUUGAGUUAUUUGACGGUUUCCAGGUGAAUUAGCUAGUGGGAUAAGACAUGAGUUUCAGAAGUUGUGGUCAAAAGACCUCAGCCGGAUAGGUGCAGUACAACAUGUUGCCCGCAGAGGGCGCCAAUGCUCUAAAUUGAGUAUUCUAUUACAGUUUCGGUCCUUUGAUAAUUUGCUAUUCGAUUUUAAAUAGUGUUAAAAAUAGGUGUGUAUCAUUAAAUCUGUCAAGGAGAUAGUUUAACAAAAAGAAAAUUUGGUACAUAGUCUUUCCAUUUUUUUUUUCACUUUUUUUUUUAAAUUAAGAUACUUUUUAAAGGGAAAAGUGCUCUUGGCAGUUUGCAAACAUAUUUUAUUGAGGCUACGUUAGACUUAUCAUAUCAAUAUAAUUUCCACUAGUGGUGUGCUCGUGUCGUCGCAUCGUGGGUUGUAAAGAAUGUGCAGGCAAACUGCACAAAGUUGGUUUCUUCGAAGUGUUGUGGAACAGGAGGUACCAUCGGUCCAGACAGGGAGGACACCUGGCAAGAACACCCCAAGGAUGUAUCAUCGGCCCAGACAGGGAGGACACCUCAAAAGAACAUCUCGAGGUCGGUGAGGAACGAGAAUAACACCCCGGCCCGGUGGUCGGACCCAACCGCCAGACAGCUGAGGCUGGUCACCUGCACUCAGCGAUAACACCCAGACGGGGAGGAGAUGGCCAUCGACCAACCAUUACACAAUGUUUUGCAUGUUUGAAUAUAAUAAAUAAAAACUAAUAAAGUUUGAAACUA